rnacentral:rRNA from 1 species
AGAGUUUGAUCCUGGCUCAGAACGAACGCUGGCGGCAGGCUUAACACAUGCAAGUCGAACGCUCGUAGCAAUACGGGAGUGGCAGACGGGUGAGUAACGCGUGGGAACAUACCCUCCGGUUCGGAAUAGCUCAGGGAAACUUGGAUUAAUACCGGAUACGGCUGAGAGGCGAAAGAUUUAUCGCCGGAGGAUUGGCCCGCGUUCGAUUAGCUUGUUGGUGAGGUAACGGCUCACCAAGGCGAUGAUCGAUAGCUGGUCUGAGAGGAUGAUCAGCCACAUUGGGACUGAGACACGGCCCAAACUCCUACGGGAGGCAGCAGUGGGGAAUAUUGGACAAUGGGCGCAAGCCUGAUCCAGCCAUGCCGCGUGAGUGAUGACGGCCUUAGGGUUGUAAAGCUCUUUCGCUCGGGACGAUAAUGACGGUACCGAGAUAAGAAGCCCCGGCUAACUUCGUGCCAGCAGCCGCGGUAAUACGAAGGGGGCUAGCGUUGUUCGGAAUUACUGGGCGUAAAGCGCGUGUAGGCGGGUCUUUAAGUCAGGGGUGAAAUGCCAAGGCUCAACCUUGGAACUGCCUUUGAUACUGGAGAUCUUGAGUCCGGGAGAGGUGAGUGGAAUUGCGAGUGUAGAGGUGAAAUUCGUAGAUAUUCGCAAGAACACCAGUGGCGAAGGCGGCUCACUGGCCCGGAACUGACGCUGAGACGCGAAAGCGUGGGGAGCAAACAGGAUUAGAUACCCUAGUAGUCC